GCUCAAUGUGAGUGUGAGGGAGCAUGGCAAUUAGUUCAACCCGGGCACGGGCCCUGCCAGGUCUCAAAGGCCAUGCCCCCACCCCUCCUUCACCCCCCAGCACCACUGGCUCCACUCUCCCUGGAGAGGCGGCUGCUCUCAUCAGCUCCUAGAACAGGGUGGUGCCUUGGCAAACUUUCCAGAACAACAAAAAGAAGAAGAAGAAGAAGAAAAGGCAGGCUCUGGGUUUCCACCUUAACUCUGCCACUUCCCGGCUGCGCGACCUUGGAUGAGGCCUUUCCGUCCUCUGGGGCUCAGCGCCUACAUCUAUAGAAUGGGGUUAAUAUGCCUCCCCUGCCAGCCUCCCAGGUCUUUAUAAAAGAACAAAUAUGAUGAAGAAUUGGAAAUGGCCUCUGAGAACUGUAAUAUACAACCGUAAGAGGCUUAUCAUUAUUCCUCCCCAGCCGUUCAUUUGCAGCAGCUGCAAAGUGGGCACCCAGAGGAGCCUUUUGUCCCAGUGGAGUCAUCUGUGUAGAGAAGAGUGGGGGAGGGUCUGUUACAGACUCGUCAUCCCGCCACAUCCACCUGUGCCCUCACCUGUGCCUCCAGAUGUCAUCCAGAUGUGUCCUUUCCACGCAAAGACCCAGCAGGAUUUGACCCUACCCAUCCUUCUAGCUUCGUCUCCCACCUAUUCCCUGAACCCCCUUGUUAUGGGCUAAAUUGUAUUCCUCCCAGUACCAAAUCCAUAUGUUGAAAUCCUAACUACCAAGUGCCUCAGGAUGUGACUGUACUUGAAGAUAGGGUCUUUAAAGAGGUAAUAAAGUGAAAAUGAGA